rnacentral:rRNA from 1 species
CCCGGGGACAGAAAUUUACUAAAAGGUUGACC